AGUGAACGCUGGCGGUAGGCCUAACACAUGCAAGUCGAACAGCAGCACAGGAGAGCUUGCUCUCUGGGUGGCGAGUGGCGGACGGGUGAGGAAUACAUCGGAAUCUACCUUUUCGUGGGGGAUAACGUAGGGAAACUUACGCUAAUACCGCAUACGACCUACGGGUGAAAGUGGGGGACCGCAAGGCCUCACGCGAUUAGAUGAGCCGAUGUCCGAUUAGCUAGUUGGCGGGGUAAUGGCCCACCAAGGCGACGAUCGGUAGCUGGCCUGAGAGGAUGAUCAGCCACACUGGAACUGAGACACGGUCCAGACUCCUACGGGAGGCAGCAGUGGGGAAUAUUGGACAAUGGGCGCAAGCCUGAUCCAGCCAUACCGCGUGGGUGAAGAAGGCCUUCGGGUUGUAAAGCCCUUUUGUUGGGAAAGAAAUCCUAUCGGUUAAUAACCGGUGGGGAUGACGGUACCCAAAGAAUAAGCACCGGCUAACUUCGUGCCAGCAGCCGCGGUAAUAC
rnacentral:rRNA from 1 species